GAUGAAGAACGGAGCGAAAUGCGAAAAGUAAUGUGAAUUGCAGAAUUCAGUGAACCAUCGAAUCUUUGAACGCACAUUGCGCCCGCUGGAACUCCGGCGGGCACGCCUGUCCGAGCGUCAUUUCAACCCUCAGGCCCCCCUUCGCGGGCGGGCCUGGUGUUGGGGCCCGGCCGCUACCCUGCGGCCGUCCCCUAAAUUCAGUGGCGGCCUCGCCGUGAUCCCUUGCGUAGUAAUGCACCUCGCACCGGAGAGCGCCGUGGCCACGCCGUAAAACCCCCAAUUUUCAAUGGUUGACCUCGGAUCAGGUGGGAAUACCCGCUGAACUUAAGCAUAUCAAUAAGCGGAGGA
rnacentral:misc_RNA from 1 species